AUUGAACGCUGGCGGAAUGCUUUACACAUGCAAGUCGAACGGCAGCACGGGUGCUUGCACCUGGUGGCGAGUGGCGAACGGGUGAGUAACAUAUCGGAACGUACCCAGUAAUGGGGGAUAACUAGUCGAAAGAUUAGCUAAUACCGCAUACGCCCUGAGGGGGAAAGCGGGGGACCGUAAGGCCUCGCGUUAUUGGAGCGGCCGAUAUCUGAUUAGCUAGUUGGUGGGGUAAAGGCCUACCAAGGCGACGAUCAGUAGCUGGUCUGAGAGGAUGAUCAGCCACACUGGAACUGAGACACGGUCCAGACUCCUACGGGAGGCAGCAGUGGGGAAUUUUGGACAAUGGGGGAAACCCUGAUCCAGCAAUGCCGCGUGUGUGACGAAGGCCUUCGGGUUGUAAAGCACUUUGUCGGGAACGAAACGGCGCUUUCUAAUACAGAGCGCUAAUGACGGUACCCGCAGAAUAAAGCACCGGCUAACUACGUGCCAGCAGCCGCGGUAAU
rnacentral:rRNA from 1 species